AUACGGAGGGUGCAAGCGUUAAUCGGAAUUACUGGGCGUAAAGCGCGCGUAGGUGGCUUGAUAAGCCGGUUGUGAAAGCCCCGGGCUCAACCUGGGAACGGCAUCCGGAACUGUCAGGCUAGAGUGCAGGAGAGGAAGGUAGAAUUCCCGGUGUAGCGGUGAAAUGCGUAGAGAUCGGGAGGAAUACCAGUGGCGAAGGCGGCCUUCUGGACUGACACUGACACUGAGGUGCGAAAGCGUGGGUAGCAAACAGGAUUAGAUACCCUGGUAGUCCACGCCGUAAACGAUGUCGACCAGCCGUUGGGUGCCUAGCGCACUUUGUGGCGAAGUUAACGCGAUAAGUCGACCGCCUGGGGAGUACGGCCGCAAGGUUAAA
rnacentral:rRNA from 1 species